GACGAACGCUGGCGGCGCGCUUAACACAUGCAAGUCGAGCGAGAACCAGUCCUUCGGGACGUGGGGACGAGCGGCGAACGGGUGAGCAACACGUGGGUAAUCUGCCCUCGAUUCUGGGAUAGCCCGGGGAAACCCGGAUUAAUACCGGAUAGCCUCUCGAGCUUUCGAGCUCUUGAGAAAAGGUAGCUUCGGCCUCCGAUCGAGGAUGACGCCCG
rnacentral:rRNA from 1 species